GUUUGGUCCGUCGGAUUUGGUCCAAAUUAAGCCCAAAAAGCGACUUUUAACAUCUUUUUUUAAAUUUUUUUUAAUCCAAAUUUAGCCCAAAAAUAGAUGAAGAUGUGCUUUAGUCCAAAUUUAGCAGAUAAAAACUUUUAUUUCGCACCACAAAGCCAUUAACAUAAACUAGUGAAGAAAUAUAUUAGACAUCAUGUCUGAAGCACUGUUAAAUAUAUUGAAAUAUAUUUUGAAAACACUUGACGGGCACGCGCUGAACUGGAGCUGAGGAAGUCACCAUGGAAACGGGGCUCUGCUCAACCGUCAAGCAGCUGAACGGACGCUGUCUCUCGUGGUUGUUUUCACUAAUUUCAGGUAAAUUUAAUCCCUAAAUUACACAAAUAUUACACAAAAGUGUCCCUGAAACUUUCUUUCAUGUAAAUGACACGCUUUCGUUGAAAAUGUACUUUAUAGAAAUGGUCAGUGUCUUCAGAAAAAGUCCGUUAGCAUCUCAACCGUAAUGCUAACUACAAGAGAUUGUUCCAUGCUGAUGGCCGUGCGUGUAUCCAGCUGAAGAACAUUUUUAGACAUUAUGACACAUAUGACUAAGACUGAAAAUCAUUGAUAAAUC